rnacentral:tRNA from 1 species
UCCGAGGUCGUCCAAUGGUAAGACAUCGCCCUCUGGAGGCGAGUAUCUUGGUUCGAAUCCAAGCCUCGGAGCCA